UUUUUUUUUUCCCUUCUUUUUCUUCUCUUUUUCUUUCCAUUAAUUUUGUUCCCCACUCCAUCAACUCCACUACCCUAUGCUCCCCACCAUCUCCACUACCUUUGCUCCCCAUCAACUCCAACACUUCACCCAUUCCUUCCAUUUCGCACCAGCAAUCACAAAGAGAAGGAAGACUUGGCUUAACUACUUUGCCAAGAUUUCAAGCUGCUCCAGUCCAGUAGUACCCCAACACUCGAAGCUAGAGUUUAUUGGGUGAAAAACCGUGCAUGAGGUCGAGCGCAAGAAUAAGAGCUCGUCAAGGAGUCACUAAUCUGUAGCAAAGCUUUGCUAUCAGGUUGAGCAGCUGCCGAUGGUGAUGAAGUGACGAGCGGGACUCUUUUGUCUUAUUAUGUAUUAAUGAACUCUAGGGUUACAUGUCUUCAUACAUGUAAUCAGAACCUUAUUCCGCUGCGUACUCAGAAGUUUUAUGUUAUUUUGGAUAAGUCGGAGUUAUCCGAACUUGUUAGUUAUUUGAGUCUAUACGACAAAAACUCUGUUAUAUUAUAGAUAUCUAUGUUGUUAACAAUGAUGAAAUACGAUCCUUUCUUGUUUGAUUA